AUUCCCACUUCUCCUCACGGCGUUACCUUCCUGCCGUUCCCACUUCUCCUCAAUGGUGUUUCCUUCCCGCCUUUCCCACUUCUCACCAGCGUUACCUUCCCGCCAUUCCUACUUCUCCUCAACGACGUUACCUUCCCUCUGUUCCCACUUCUCACUGGCGUUACCUUCAUGCUGUUCCUACUUCUCCUCAUGCCAUUACCUUCCUGCCAUUCCCACUUCUCCUCACGCAUUACCUUCCUGCUGUUCCCAAUUCUCUCUGGCGUUACCUUCCUGCUGUUCUGCCGUUCACGCGUGUUUAUAUGUGUUUGCAUGUGUUUACAUGUGUUUGCAUGUGCCUGUGUCUGCAUAUGCGCAUUUCCCUGAAUCGACGGAGGGGUCAGGACGCCUCCUCCCCACUAGCUGUGCUGACCUGGGAGCAGCAGGUUCGGCCCUCACCCCAGGUAGGACGUGCCCCCUCCUUGAUAUGCCCACUUCAGCGAAUCACGUGUGGCCUGAGGGCUCUGCUCAAGGGCCCUAGCCAGGAAACAGCCUGCUGGGAGGCCAACCAGGUGCCCCCACACCUGUGGUGGACAUUGACUCCCUCCAGGCGGUGGCUGAGGGCAGCCCCAGCCAAGUCUGUGCCAGCCGAGGCUGCUGGGGACCCUUCCUCUCCCCCUUCCCUGUUCUGUUCUUCCUUCCCACCCUUCCUCCUCCCUCCCUCCUUUUCUUUUUUUGGGUUUCACCUUAGACUAAGUAAACACACUGGCCUGAAUUAUGUAAGCCCCUCUUGCAGCCUGGGCAGAUACAUUUAAAAAUAAAACUUGUCAGGUGUUGUUACCUUCCAGCCUCCUCAAAGCUGAGCUCUCCAAUCUCAGGACUAUUUACAGCCACACCAGCAGCAGUGCUGACUCGGCACCACAGGCGCGGCCUCUUGUGGGGAAGGAGCAGGGACCCUCCACCGUGCUUGGUUUCUUUCCCCACCUUCCUCUCGGUGGGGCUGGGAGUGGGGUGAUUUGGAAACACUCAGAGGGUUUAGACAUGAAUGAGUCUGGUCGAAUUCCCCACUCUGGACAGCGAGUCCAGGCACUGCCUGGCGGUCUGGUCGGGGUUCCUGGGGGGAGGUUCAGAGCAGGGUAUGGCAGGAGCAAGACCCGGGUGUCUUGUGUCCCCGAAAGGAGCAAGAGGAGGCAGCAGGAAACCCGGACGGCGCUGAGCGGAGGCCUGGGCGCACGUCCUGGAGGAAGAGGCAUCGUUACCAGGAGUGCCCGAGGCACAGUGCACAGAUGGGCUGGUACAGGGUCCUGGGAGCACUGCGGGACCGGGCAGGGCUCUGCUGAGCCUCAGGAGAGGGAGGGCGCUGGUUCCCGCAUCCUGUCCCCCUCCCCUGGUGAUCUGCCAAGGGGAGCAGCCCAGGGAGGGGGAGCUGGGAGUCAGGGAGCGCUGUCCUUCAUGAGUACAAAUCCAAAUCCCAGGCCGGCUCCCCAGGAGCAUAGGCUGCAAGGACAGGGCACCAGCUGUUUAUUUGGGUCAGGACUCAGGGGAGGGGGAAGAUCACCCCAGGAGCAGAGCUGUCCACCCACUUGGUCCCUGGAUCCCCCAGGUCCUGGAGGGCCUGACCUCAAGGAACUGACUCUGCCUGGGCUGGUAGGGCUCUGACCCCUGGCUUCCGUGCGGCCAGAGACCGCCAAACACGAGUGAGGGGCAGUUUAAUUGUCUGCUGUGGUCUUAAAAACCAGGAGGCCCAGAGUCGCAGCAAUCGGCCGUGCUUCUUUAGAGGCCCCUCCCUCCGCCUCCCACAGGGCAGCCACUCCAGCACCCCUUUCAGGUUCUUCCCCAGCCCAGGCCCUGCUCCCUGGCCCUCCCUCUUGCUACUGGUUCCCGACACUCACGUUCCUCCCACGGGACCACGACUGAGACAGCACACGAGGGCCCACUGUGAGUAUCUGGGGCCCGUUUUAUGCACAAAGAGCCCGGCACUCGCCAUCAGAUCCAUCUCCUACCUGCUCUAAGCCACACUGCCCUCCUGCCAGGCUGGUAGGGUCUCUGGGGCUGGGCUGGGUAGACGGGGCUGCGCAGCUGGAGACGUGCCCACCUCCCUGCCUGUGACCCCAUCCAGGUGCCCUGACUCAGGCACUGGCGACCAGUCCUGAGGUUGCUCAGCACAGCCCCUCCCUCACCGCUGCCCCCAAGCCAUCGCUUGCCAGAGGCUGGCUUGCUGUCUUCACGGCUCUGGGAAGUCACUUCGGAGAAACUGACCUCUGAGUGGGAAAGUGACUCACUCGCCGAGGUUCAGGACGGACUCGGCGGCAAGGGCGUCUUGGAGGGAGGUCUCGAGUGCCAGGGUUCUCCUCUCAUCUCCUCCCAUCCAGCACCGUGUACUGAAGUUGCCUGCCUCUUUCCUCAUGUCAGGGACAGCCCCGUCCCCCAGCACACAAGGAUGACAGUAUGUCCUGGUAGCCAGCGAGGCCCAGAUCCCACACCUGGCCACACGCACCAGCGUGGCCUCCAGGAGAGGGUGUGAGGUCUCCUCCGGCUGUCCACGGUGGGCCCAGACAUAGGAUCUUCCCCUGUGGGGAGGACGGGGGGCAGCCCACCCUGGGAAGAGGGGUGAGCCACCCACAGAGAAUGAGGCUAGGCCCACUUGGGCCUGAGGGCAUGGCCUGCACCCAGCUGGGCAGGCUGGGCAGGGGCAGACUGGAUGGGAAUGGGAGCUGAGGCUGCCCUGGAGGGGUUGGAGCUGUGCCCACUGGGGAUGGAUGGACACCCCUGGAUGACGGACACCCCUGGAUGACGGACACCCCUGGUCAGCCAGUGGCCCAGCUCAUGCCCCUGUCCGGAGGCCCAGCCCAGCCCAGCACACACAAAGCCAGGCGUCAGGGCUCAGGCACAGAGCACGGCCAUGGCCAGAUGUACCCGGGCCCCUCUGGGGAGUGUGCAGGGGCCGCCCGGGGUGGGCUCUGGGUGCCGGGUCCUGCCUCGGUGCUGAGGACAUCAGCCCAGGUCCCCACUGCCCUUGACCCAGGGGGCUGACACCCCCCAGUGCAGAAAGAAUGGCCCAAGGGGGUUGGCGGGGGUGCUCCAUGGAGAAGGGGCUAUCUGAGCCCCUCAGGCACCCUCUGCCAGCCAUGCCUGCCCUGAGCGGCUGCCCUGCAGCACCUGGACUGUCCCUUUGGGACGGGCCUCGGUCCCUCUCCCCAGGGGAUUUGCUGUACAGCCCCACAGGGACGCCCAAGGGAUCACUAUCUUUGUGGCUGGAGGAAGAAGACACGUGUGGCAGUGGCCAUGUGGUCUUGUUGGGAGUGGCCACCUGCCCUCCUGGGGUCUCCAGGCCAGAGGCCAGGCCACAGGCCAACCAAGGACAGCCUGGCCAUCCGGCCCUAGCCGGGCUGGACCUCCUGUGUGGAUUCUGAAAUCCACCGGCUUCCCAGGGUUGUCAACCCCUGGGCUCUCGCUCCUGUGGGGAUGGGUAUUUCCCUCUCUGGCGAGACAUUUCCAAAUUCAGAGGCUGUGGUUUGAUGGCUGGGGUCCUGUGGUGCCGGGCUGUGCCUUCCAGAGGCGCCAGCUUCAGGCUGUGACUGGUGACGAGAAUCUAGGUCAACCCACGCCGCUCACAGCCUCCUUCCAGCGUGUCAUUGUCCCAGCCUCGUCCACACACAGCUCCCCCAAAACCCUGCAGCGUCAUUUCUGUUCUGACUCCAGGUGGGCUCUGCCGCUGCCUGUGAGAUGAGGCCAGAUCCUCGCCGCCCGCACCUGCCUCUCCCCAACUCGCCCUGCGCGGGACAGGUGGACGCCGCCCACACCUACCUCUCCCCCACUCACCCUGCCCGGGAGAGGUGGACGCUGUCUGCACCUGCCUCUCCCCAACGCGCCCUGCCCGGGAGAGGUGGAUGCCGCCCGCACCUGCCUCUCCCCCACUCUCCCUGCCUGGGAGAGAUGGACGCCGCCUGUGCCUGCCUCUCCCCGACUUGCCCUGCCCAGGAGAGGUGGAUACCAAGCAUGUUCUUGGCAACUUGCUGCCCACACACGGUGCGGUCCAGGCUGCAGCGUCACAGCCCUGGAGCCUGCUGGGAGUGCACAGCCCAAUAGCCACCCCAGCCCCUCUUCGAGGGCAGAUUCCCAUCAGCCUGAGCUGCCUGCAGGAUGAGUACAGGGGUCCCUCCGCAGGGCAGAGCCAGGAGCUGUGGAAAUGCUCUUUGCAGAGGCCCCACCUAGAUGCCCCACGGGGGUGUCCCCUGGCUGAGUCCACAGGGAGGGUUGAGGCUGCCUCGGCCAUGUCUGCGGCGCACGUCCCCGGUGCACAUCCCCGGCGCAGGCUGUGUCUCCUCGCAGCCCCAACUGACUUCCUUUCCUUCCUGUGGUCUGCACUUCCACCAUCCUUACCCCCUCCUUAUCCUCAGAGACACCUCCUGACACCCUCCUCCAUGCUCUGCCCUGGUUGGGAUGCCUCUUGGGCUGUUCCGGGCCCCAGGCUAGAGCCACUGCCUCUGUUUCUCUGGGUGAGUCCUUGCCCUGCUGCAGGAAACCUCCGCGUGCUGUCUAAGAAGUCGUGCAAACUGGCCAGGCCUGGAAGGGCUGAGGCAUCCUUUCUCCCUGAUGGAUGGUUUGCGUGAGUAUAAAAUUCAAGGCUGGAAGCCAGAUUCCUGUGGAAUUUGGAAGGCCCGGCUCCAUUGUCUUCCGGCUCCAGCGUUGUUGAGGCGAAGUCUGACGUCCAUGCAGACUCUGAUUCCCGUGUGGGGACAGCCCUGGGGUCCUGCCGUCCUGGGACAUCGCUCCGGCACCCCUACGCUGCUUCUUGAAACGUUUCUGUCGACUUCCCACCUCCCGGGAAUUUGUUGAAUCUUUUUUCUGUGAAUGCCAGUUCUGUCUUCCUCACGGCUGGUUAAUUCCCUUCUGCUCCUUAACUGUCAUCGCAUGGGGUUAAUGAGAGGAGGAGAGAAAACGUCUGUGGUUUCGUUUUCCUUCCUGGAUUUCGACAAUGUGGAUGCGUCCUUGGGGGAAAGGUGGGCUCGGGAUCCAGGCAUAGACCGUGCGGGGGCCUCUCCAGGAGCCAGUGUGGGGGAGUCCAGCGCAGCAGGGCCAGGGCCAGGUGGGGCAGAGUGAAGACACCAGGGCACCGCGGGGCCAGUGAGUUUGUUGCCUCAGCUGAGACAAAGUCUCAGCAAAUCAUCAGUGUUCCUCUUCUGUGAGGUCUUUCCACGCACCAGGCCAGGGUGUCAUCACCAGACCCCUCCGGUGCUGAAGGAUCUCCCCGGAAAAUAGAUAUUAAUUGCUUUUCAAUCAAUGUAUUCCAUGUGUAUCAAUAUAUUCCACAUGUAUCAAUAUAUUCCACGUGUAUCAAUAUAUUCCACGUGUAUCAAUAUAUUCCACGUGUAUCAAUGCAUUCCACGUGUAUCAAUGCAUUCCACGUGUAUCAAUGCA
rnacentral:lncRNA from 1 species